rnacentral:rRNA from 1 species
CGCGUAGGCGGCGCGGUAAGUCACUUGUGAAAUCUCUGAGCUUAACUCAGAACGACCAAGUGAUACUGCAGUGCUAGAGUGUGGAAGGGGCAAUCGGAAUUCUUGGUGUAGCGGUGAAAUGCGUAGAUAUCAAGAGGAACACCUGAGGUGAAGACGGGUUGCUGGGCCAACACUGACGCUGAGGCGCGAAAGCCAGGGGAGCGAAACG